rnacentral:rRNA from 1 species
UACGGAGGGUGCGAGCGUUGUUCGGAAUCACUGGGCGUAAAGGGCGUGUAGGCGGUCCGCUAAGUCUGAUGUGAAAGCCCGGGGCUCACCCCCGGAAGGGCAUUGGAAACUGACGGACUCGAGUCCCGAAGAGGAGGGUGGAAUUCCGGGUGUAGCGGUGGAAUGCGUAGAGAUCCGGAAGAACACCGGUGGCGAAGGCGGCCUGCUGGGCAGUAGCUGACGCUGAUGCGCGACAGCGUGGGGAGCAAACAGG